rnacentral:rRNA from 1 species
UACGUAGGUGGCGAGCGUUGUCCGGAUUUACUGGGCGUAAAGGGUGCGUAGGUGGUUGUUUAAGUCUGCUGUGAAAGCCCCGGGCUCAACCUGGGAAUGGCAGUGGAUACUGGACAGCUAGAGUGCGGUAGAGGGUAGUGGAAUUCCCGGUGUAGCAGUGAAAUGCGCAGAGAUCGGGAGGAACACCCGUAGCGAAGGCGGCGCUCUGGGCCGGUACUGACGCUGAGGAGCGAAAGCGUGGGGAGCAAACAGG